rnacentral:rRNA from 1 species
UACAGAGGUCCCAAGCGUUGUUCGGAUUCACUGGGCGUAAAGGGUGCGUAGGCGGUCGGGUAAGUCUGACGUGAAAUCUUCAAGCUCAACUUGGAAACUGCGUCGGAUACUAUUCGGCUAGAGGGAAUGGAGGGGAGACUGGAAUACUUGGUGUAGCAGUGAAAUGCGUAGAUAUCAAGUGGAACACCAGUGGCGAAGGCGAGUCUCUGGACAUUUCCUGACGCUGAGGCACGAAAGCCAGGGGAGCAAACGGG